CAAAAAAUCUACACUCAAAAGAAAUAAUCGUUUAUUGCUUGGACUUCUCUGAGCUCUAGUACCUGAAUCAGAGGGUUUCAUGGCAAAGCAGAUACGAUCUGCAAAACUCUUGAGGAGCUUCCAGGGGCAAGAGUCCAGCCAGCUGUUCAGUCAGUGGCUCCACAGCAAGGUAAUAGAACCUGACUUUAUUCACAUCUGGGUAAAAGAAGUCAAGCUUGGUAUGGGAGAAGAAGCGGAAUAUAGGCACGUAUUGUAAAUAGACAUCUGACUAUUAGGCCCAGACUCUGACGCUCAGAGUGGGCAAAACCAGGAGCUGUCACGGAAUGGGCUCUGCGUUGGGGCCCAGUUUCAAGAAGGCCUCAGAACAACUUUGGAAGAUGAAUUGAUCCUGUUGCAUGAGCCUGGAAGCCUUGUUAAGUCACUUGACCUCCAGUCAGGUCAGCGUAUGGUUAGCUACCCGGACACAUCUUUCUACCAGACACUCUGGCCUUCAGAUUCCAGAGGAGCCAGUGGGCAGGGGUGUCUGUUUUUCACUGACAUUUGCAGGGUGGGUACACCUCUAGAGAGAAGGUCACAUCUCUUGCCAGGAAAUGCAGAGUCUGAGCAAUCGAGGGAAAGGCAGAGGUUAGCUCAACUUCAUCUGCCAUGUGGACCCCCAUGCUGAGCUGAAGAGUGUUCUGGUUAGAAGCAGAUUGUGGGUGGCCAAUGCCUUGCCUAUGGAACUAUAUCAUGGUUAAUUCUGGAUCAUCAGGAAAUCUAAUGAAUUUGACCUGAUUCAAUAAUGUCUUUCACUCAGUAAUCUGAUCACUUCUGUUCCAGGAGUAGCCUUCCUCAGUCUGCCCUAAUCUAAUGGUACGAAAACAGGCAUGUUUAAUUUUAGCCUAUUGCAAAAGAAGACCCAGGGCAGUAGACUGCAUCUACCUUAUGCUUGUUUUUGGAAGGAAAUUUACACUGGCCACGGUCAAUACUCAGCGUGUGACAAUGGUCACUGUCAAGGCCUGUAGGCCCACGCUGGAGAGAGCCUGGCACCUCACAAUGCAAUCCAAUCACUCCAGCUUGUCACAUAUUCAGAAGUUCAGAAAGCUCAGCAGUGACAGGUUUAUUUUUCAGAAACGCUGAGCUACAAAUUACUAAUAUAUCAGGCAGCCAGAAUCACUGGGCUGACUGCAGGUCUGAUUACCAUGGGUAACUGACACUAAGCCAUUCUGGGAGAUCCUCUCCCUUAAAUAGUUACAUUUCAGUGCUGCUGAAAUUCCGUGACCAAUCAGAUGCAGACAAUAGGUAGGGGCUUCUGAUUAGCACUCUGAUUUCCAGCUGUGCUCGAAGUGACUCAGGAGAUCAGUGGAAAAGUAGUUCAGUCACCCCAAAAUGAUAGGUUCCUACUCCUUGUUCCAUUCUCUAUCCCUGGAAAGCCACCAUGGCCCUUCCAAGGCAUUGAAUGUGGCACACUGAGAAUUACAGCAGCCCAGUGCUUUUCAAAGCACAACUGCCUGGGUCAAACAAAGAAACAAAAAAUAAGACUCUAAGGUCACUGCAUUGCUCCCCAAGUGCCCUUGAGACUGAAUCACCCUGGACUUCAUAUCAGAUUUCUCCCUGUUCUGGGGCCACCAAACAAUUCUGAUGGUGGUGGCUAUCCUUAUCAAAACAGUAAAUGUCAUUCCCCAACUGCUUAAACUAUGCUUUAUUUAUCAGUGAGGUGGUAGCCUACCUCAGGAUCACUUUUAUAGUAAUUUCCAUGGUCUUACUAUUUAAAGGAAUGUUUCCAGAAGUAUCUACAUCUGAAUUCACCUGUCUACUGCUAUUACCUAGCCAGGGAUAGUAAGAAAGACACUUUUGGUUGGAAUUUCUCUGGUGUCACAAAAUACAUAGGCAUUAUGACUUGUUCUGCCUACCUUGUAACUGCAAAAUUCACACAGUAUUUUUCCACACGGAAUACCCUCUUCUAUAAUGACUACUGCCACCCUCUUUAUUUCACUGCUAAGAUUGAUACCUCAAAGAGGUAUAAGCCACCCCCAAAAAGCUUAGAGGUGACAUUGAUCAAUGUGUCAAAGACUACUAUAGGCCCACUGUACCAAAUAAUAUGGCUAAGUCCUGACACCGGACAGGGGUGGUGGUGUGGGGGGUGUCUUUUAGGUGGGAGAGUUUAUGGUUCUCAGUCCUACAUAUCUGAGCCAAAUUAAAAUUUAAACACUUUCUUGGAUCCAUUCAAGUUUUCAAGAUCACAAACCCCAUUGUGUUCUUCCUAUAUUUAUCUGUUAAGACAUAGCUUUAAAACAUUUUUUUUUUCUUUUGAGUCAGAGUCUCACUCUGUCACCCAGGCUGGAGUGCAGUGGCA
rnacentral:lncRNA from 1 species